rnacentral:misc_RNA from 1 species
UACGGAGACUGCGAGCGUUAUUCGGAUUCACUGGGCGUAAAGGGUGUGUAGGCGGCAAGGUAUGUCAGGUGUGAAAUCCCGAAGCUCAACUUCGGAACUGCGCCUGAAACUACUUUGCUAGAGUAUCGGAGAGGUAAGCGGAAUUCCUAGUGUAGCGGUGAAAUGCGUAGAUAUUAGGAGGAACACCAAUGGCGAAGGCAGCUUACUGGACGAUCACUGACGCUCAAACACGAAAGCGUGGGUAGCAAAACGG